rnacentral:rRNA from 1 species
UGGGGAAUAUUGGGCAAUGGAGGCAACUCUGACCCAGCAACGCCGCGUGAAUGAAGAAGGCCUUCGGGUUGUAAAGUUCUUUAAUUGGGGACGAAGAAAGUGACGGUACCCAAAGAAUAAGCCACGGCUAACUACGUGCCAGCAGCCGCGGUAAUACGUAGGUGGCAAGCGUUGUCCGGAAUGACUGGGCGUAAAGGGAGCGUAGGCGGCGCAGUAAGUUAGGAGUGAAAUCCCGAGGCUUAACCUCGGAACUGCUUUUAAAACUGCUGUGCUUGAGUGAUGGAGAGGAAAGCGGAAUUCCUAGUGUAGCGGUGGAAUGCGUAGAUAUUAGGAGGAACACCAGAGGCGAAGGCGGCUUUCUGGACAUUAACUGACGCUGAGGCUCGAAAGCGUGGGGAGCAAACAGG